AUGGCAAGUAUCCAGAGACUACAAGAAGUAGUCAAGAAAUUACUGUUCCAAGAAAAUGCCCCUGGUAAAAAGAAAUCCAUCUGAAUCUCCAGUCUGCAACACCUUCAAAUGAUUUAAAUAUUGUCUUUUAUAAUGAAAGUUAUGUACUGCCAAUAUCAGGAAGGCAUGACAUAGUCUAGGCAAUAUGUGAUUGGAAAUAGUAACAAGGUUAAAUAAUAAAGCAACUUUUGCUGAUUCAUAGCUCAUUAUGUUAUGAAAUUAUAAGGCAUUAGAAGUUAUAGAGCAAAUGGCAAACAUUUGCUUUGGAGAAAAUGCAUAUCAUUUUCUCGUUUCUUCAGUCUGAUUCUGUAGGUAGACAGUUCCAACUGCUGAGCUUGGCACUGGUAAUUUGAUUCGUUUUAAGCCAAGUGAAACAGACAGAGGGUAGCUAAAUUGACUUUUAAAAAUAAUAAUUUACUCUGUUACAUUCACAAAAUUUCACACUUUCCAAGAGUGAUAAUAGUUGUUCACUGGAAAAGAUUCAUAUGGACCUAGGGCAGAGAGAAACAGGAUACUUUUCACUUGAAGCAAGACACUGGAAAUGCAUUAACAUGAAAACCAGCAGCAGGAGAUGCUCCUGGAAAAAAAAAUAUGUUAAUGCAGCUGGUGGGUACAAUGAAUUUUUAUGUUGACAGUCCUCACUGCUUAGUGAUUCCAAGUACUGAAGAUUAGAAAUAGCUGAAAGGUUUGCGAUUCCCAGUCCUGGCAGAAUUGAUGGAAAGAGAACUUUUUGAAUAAAAAAGGAAAGGAACAUUAAACUAAUCAGGGGGAAAGAUACAAAAAAACACCUAUAAUUAAUUUAUAGGUUAUUAAUUUGUCACUUUGGGCUGUGAAAGCAUUUGUAUACUUCCAUAUCCUACGAGUCUAUUGUGAAAAAAGAUGUGUUCUGUUUAAAUUACACAGCUCAAUUUGCUGAGAAAGCAUUAGCAGUGGACCUUCACAAAAAUGAAUCCAAUCUUUAAGGGUCUCUCUAAUGUGUUGCUCCCUCUUUCAGUCAUCGGUAAUUUUACAACAUUUCAAUGGAUAGUGCUGGAAUCAAGGCCAAUGGAAUAUUUGCCAGAAGUACUAGGGAAAAGCACAGUAAUUAAGGCAACAUAGUAAUUCACCUCAAUUAAGAGGAACCUCCAGGACAAAGCUGAUUUUCUGAUUUGCAGCAGUCAGUUGCUUCUACCCUUUGGGAAAGUGUUCAUCAAAUCUGCAUCGCCAGUGUCACCAGCAGCACCCUUCAUGUAGCUUAGCAUUUGUUUUCCAGGCUUUCUGUCACUAAUCAGUUACAUAAACCUUCUUGUGCAUUUCAUUCCAGACUACCAAAAUCUCCAUCUGGAAAGAAAGUUUAUUUUUGGCUAAUUCAUUUGUAUUUUUAUUUUUACAGUUUUUCUACUAUAGUCUCUAGGCUACAUGUAUUUUCAACUCUCCAAAAUACUUUCUGGAGAAUUUCAGUAAAAAGAGAAACAAAGAAACAUGUUAACAUGAUCAUGCCAUUACUGACAAAAGGUCUACAAUGAAAGGGAAUAAUCACUUGUAAAAUACUAUUAAACCCAGAUUUUCCAGUAAAAAGUAAGAGAUGUCUAUACUAUCACACGAGGUAAGACAAGCAAGGAGUUGCUGCAUGGCUGCUACAUUCAACAAGCCUUUGGCAUUCCAAAUUCUAGAACUCUCCAUCUCCUACUCACCUCUACGUGUUUCCACACUGCGGGAAAAUCCUUGGGCUGGUUGAUGGUGAUGAAAGUUCAAUCUACAGCUGGAGUGGGAGACAGAGGGAUCCAGACUGACCAAACCAUCAUCUUCAACACGUGGCUCUGGGGGUUAUCCUGGGAUCCUGGGAGACAACAUCCAGCUGACACUAAAAUUUAGUCAUGAGGCCUUACCUAGAUGCAAGGAAGUUGGGAAUGGACACACA
rnacentral:lncRNA from 1 species